CAUCGACUCCAGGUCCAACACUUCGAGCAAUCCGCCAUUUUUAUUUCUCGCUUUUAUUUUGUAGUCCAAGCUCCAGGAUGCAGAAGUUACGAGAGGAGAAAUCAAAAUGUUCGGUUGUUGGAUGUAGUAACCCACACGCUUCAUUACAACGUCUCCCAGCAUCAGAACCUUUUCAAAGUGCCUGGUUGAGUUUUAUGUUUCAUGGAAAUGUACCCACAUCUGUGGGUAAGGUCAUUUUUGUGUGCGUGAAACACUUCAAGGAUGACUGCUUCAGCAACCUCCGCCAGUAUAAAGAAGGAUUUGCCGACUUUGAACCCUCAAUCAGACUUUGUCUGAACCCUCAAUUCAAUUCCUUCUAUCUUUGGAGACGAUGAACAGAACACUUCAAACCUGGACAGUGAGCCUGCGUUUUCUUGUAGUGAAACAUAUCAAGAACCACAUCAGAACUGUGAACCACUCAGUGGAACAUUGUUUGUAACACCAGAGAAAACCUGCUGUGUUUCCAAACACAAAACAACCAAACUGCCGUGGUCAGAGUGUUUGGACUUCAGCGACACACAAAAGUUUUCCGUCACUUCUCUGGGAGAAUUCAAAACAUUUCUGAAUCAAGGACUUUGUCUCACUCUGGAGGAGGAAAAGGUUCUGUGGUGGCCUGCAGCCUCUGAGGAGGUCCAACCAGUGAAGGAGAAGAAGGCUGGGAAAGAGGAGAUUCCAGUUAAACCAGGUUCAACCAAAGGUAAAAAGAAGAAACCUACACAGGAGCUGGUACAGGACGCCCCCAUCAGGAGGCUCCUGGGUACUGCACAUGUCCCCCUGCAAAGCCUGGUUAGAGGAGGGAAAAGGGUCCACAUGGUCUGUGACUUUGGUCUCCUAUCUAGUGACUCCGAGGAGGAACAUACAACACAGAAUGGGAAGGAUGAGGAAAGAAAGGAAAAAAAAAAGGAGAUGCCAAAACAGAGAAGAGGAAAGAAAGCAGCCUCAUCAAAAGUCCAGAAGGAGCAGGAUGAGGCUGUUAAACCAGAAAGGCCAGUGUGUGUCCAUCAGGAGCCUGUCACUGUGGAGCUGAGUGUGGAGCUGAGCAGAUGGAGCUCAGUGUCUGAAGCUCAUCAGAUGUUCUCAACAUGUUCUCCUUAAACCCGUAGAGCUGCUGCUAAGCUGAGGACACCAUAGUGCUCUUUACCUUUAACCAAUCAUCAUAAAAUCAUGUGCUGUGGCAGCUUUUUCUUCCCUUAGGAUCAUUGAGGAUUUUUGUACCAGGUGUGUUAUGUAUGUGAUUAUAAUAUGUAUGGGGUGACAAUUGUAAAGUUGUGCAUGCUAAAAUAAACAGCAACUUUUUGCAUCA
rnacentral:lncRNA from 1 species